rnacentral:rRNA from 1 species
GACGAACCGUCCUAACGUUGUUCGGAAUUAUUGGGCGUAAAGGGCGCGUAGGCGGCUUGUUAAGUCGGCUGUGAAAGCCCGGGCUCAACCCCGGAGGGUCAGCCGAUACUGGCAGCUAGAGUACGGAAGAGGUAGCUGGAAUUCCCGGUGUAGCGGUGAAAUGCGUAGAUAUCGGAGGAACACCUGAGGCGAAGGCGGGCUACUGGGCCGAUACUGACGCUGAUGUAGCGAAAGCCAGGGGAGCGACGGG